AUUGAACGCUGGCGGCAUGCCUCACACAUGCAAGUCGAGCGGCAGCGCGGGGGCAACCCUGGCGGCGAGCGGCGAACGGGUGAGUAAUACAUCGGAACGUGUCCAGUAGCGGAGGAUAACCUGUCGAAAGAUAGGCUAAUACCGCAUACGACCUACGGGUGAAAGCGGGGGACCGCAAGGCCUCGCACUAUUGGAGCGGCCGAUGUCGGAUUAGCUAGUUGGCGGGGUAACGGCCCACCAAGGCGACGAUCCGUAGCUGGUCUGAGAGGACGACCAGCCACACUGGAACUGAGACACGGUCCAGACUCCUACGGGAGGCAGCAGUGGGGAAUUUUGGACAAUGGGCGCAAGCCUGAUCCAGCCAUGCCGCGUGAGUGAAGAAGGCCU
rnacentral:rRNA from 1 species